rnacentral:lncRNA from 10 species
AGUCAGCCCCAUGUACCUAUGAGUCUCCCAGAGACUCACAGGUCUCGGGAGAUUAUGAGCGGUCCCUCAGCCCUGACUCCUCAAGAUUCAUGCCUGCCUCACCCAGCUUCUCCCUCUCCCCUCCCAGAAAUUCAGACCCAAGGGGCAGCUCCUCACCAGGGAUGUGGAAGUACUCUACAUCAUCCCGCAGGGCUUCACCACUCUCACAUCCCUCAUCAACAGAAUUUCAUAACUUUACAUUUCCCUUUCCUAGCCAAGCAGGACAAUCACUCAUGUCAUUGUGCUCUCCCGUGUCCUCCUCUGGAGAUUCUUCACAGUCACCUCAUUCAUGAAUAAUAUACCAUAUGUUCUUACUGCCAUCAUCCAGCAGCUCACCCCCAGCCAUCAAUGACUCUCCUGUCUGUCCCAGCUACUCUCCAACUAUGCCCAGAUUUCAGCGGGAGUCGGUCUCUCACACCCCAGAAACACCUACAAACUCACAGACCUCAGUGAGACCCUCACCAGUCUCUCUCACCUCUUCACCCCCACCACUUACGGACCCUCCUGUCUGUCCCAGCUACUCUCCAACUACACCCACAUUUCAGCGGGAAGAGGUCUUGGGGCCGAAACGAUCUCAGUCUAUUCUGUAACUUUAAAUGGGUAAGAAGCCUGGCUGGCUGACGUGGAGCCAGGCGUGGAAUGCGAGUGCUUCGUAGGCUACUUUUGGUAAGCAGAACUGGCACUGUGGGAUGAACCAAAUGCCGGGUUAAGAUGCCCGAUGCCAAUGCUCAUCAGACCUCAGAAAAGGUGUUGGUUGAUAUAGACAGCAGGAUGGUGGCCAUGGAAGUUGGAAUCCGCUAAGGAGUGUAACAACUCAGCUGCCAAAUCAACUACUCCUGAGAAUGGAUGGAGCUGGAGCGUUGGGCCCAUACCCGGCCGUUGACAGCAGUUGAGAGUGGAUGGGAGCGGCAGGGGCAGUACACCCGUGUGAGUGCAGUGGGGGUCCUCCCGUCCCCUCCUCCCCCCCCUCCCCUGCAGCCCCACGGAGUCUACGCCGGGAGGAGUAGGAGGGCCGCUGCGGUAAGCUUUGAAGCCUAGGGUAUGGGCCCAGGUGGAUAGGCCACAGGUGCAGAUCUUGGUGGUAGUAGCAAAUUUUCAAAUGAGAACUUUGAAGGCCGAAGUGGAGAAGGGUUCCAUGUGAACAGCAGUUGAACAUGGGUCCCAGGUGAACAGCAGUUGAACAUGGUUCAUUUGGUCCUGAGAGAUGGGUGAGUGCCAUUCCGAAGGGAUGGGUGAUGUCCUCUGUUGCCCUCAGCUGAUUGAAAGGGAGUUGGGUUCAGAUCCCCGAAUCCAGAAUGGCGGAGAUGGGCACCAUGAGGCGUCCAGUGCGGUAAUGUGACUGACCCUGGAGAAGCAUGUGGGAGCCCUGGGGAGGGUUCUCUUUUUCUUUGUGAAGGGCAGGGCGCCCUGGAAUGGGUUCGCCCCGAGAGAGGGGACUGUACCUUGGAAAGCAUCGUGGUUCUGGUGGCAUCUGGUGAGCUCUGGCUGGCCCUUGAAAAUCCAGGGUAGACGGUGUAAGUCUCACGCAGGGCCAUACCCAUGUCUGCAGCAGGUCUCCGAGAUGAGCAGACUCUGGCAUGUUGGAACAAUGUAGGUAAAGGAAGUCCUCAAGCCGGAUCCAUAACUUCGGGAUAAGUAUUGGCUGUAAGGGCUGGGUCGGUUGGGCUGGGUGCGUGCCGCCGCUCGACGAGGCCCCGC